UGACGUUCCAAUGAUAACAGAAUGAAACGCAGGUCCUUGUUUCCAUUUUUUCAACUGAUGCCUUGUGUUCGACCGGUCCCGAUUAUAUGAAUCACGCGGACAAUUGGCAAACAAUGAAGUCGAAAAAAGCUGGUUCAGUGUU
ensembl:ncRNA T07F12.8 ncRNA